rnacentral:rRNA from 1 species
UACGUAGGGGGCAAGCGUUGUUUGGAAUGACUGGGCGUAAAGGGUGCGUAGGCGGUGUAGCAAGUUAGAAGUGAAAUACCUAGAGCUUAACUCAGGUGCUGCUUCUAAAACUGCUAUACUUGAGUGCAGUAGAGGAAAGUGGAAUUCCUAGUGUAGCGGUGGAAUGCGUAGAUAUUAGGAGGAACAUCAGUGGCGAAGGCGACUUUCUGGACUGUAACUGACGCUGAGGCGCGAAAGCGUGGGGAGCAAACAGG